UGCGAGACCUUCGGGUCUAGCGGCGGACGGGUUAGUAACGCGCGGGAACGUGCCCUUCUCUGCGGAAUAGCCACUGGAAACGGUGAGUAAUACCGCAUACGCCCUUCGGGGGAAAGAUUUAUCGGAGAAGGAUCGGCCCGCGUUAGAUUAGAUAGUUGGUGGGGUAAUGGCCUACCAAGUCUACGAUCUAUAGCUGGUUUUAGAGGAUGAUCAGCAACACUGGGACUGAGACACGGCCCAGACUCCUACGGGAGGCAGCAGUGGGGAAUCUUAGACAAUGGGCGCAAGCCUGAUCUAGCCAUGCCGCGUGUGUGAUGAAGGUCUUAGGAUCGUAAAGCACUUUCGCCAGGGAUGAUAAUGACAGUACCUGGUAAAGAAACCCCGGCUAACUCCGUGCCAGCAGCCGCGGUAAUACGGAGGGGGUUAGCGUUGUUCGGAAUUACUGGGCGUAAGCGUACGUAGGCGGAUCAGAAAGUAUAGGGUGAAAUCCCAGGGCUCAACCCUGGAACUGCCUUGUAAACUCCUGGUCUUGAGUUCGAGAGAGGUGAGUGGAAUUCCAAGUGUAGAGGUGAAAUUCGUAGAUAUUUGGAGGAACACCAGUGGCGAAGGCGGCUCACUGGCUCGAUACUGACGCUGAGGUACGAAAGUGUGGGGAGCAAACAGGAUUAGAUACCCUGGUAGUCCACACCGUAAACGAUGAAUGCCAGUCGUCGGGCAGUAUACUGUUCGGUGACACACCUAACGGAUUAAGCAUUCCGCCUGGGGAGUACGGUCGCAAGAUUAAAACUAAAGGAAUUGACG
rnacentral:rRNA from 1 species